GGUCCAGACUCCUACGGGAGGCAGCAGUGGGGAAUAUUGCACAAUGGGGGGAACCCUGAUGCAGCGACGCCGCGUGGGUGAGGGAGCACCUCGGUGCGUAAAGCCCUAUCGGCAGGGAAGAAACAGACGGUACCUGACUAAGAAGCCCCGGCUAACUACGUGCCAGCAGCCGCGGUAAUACGUAGGGGGCAAGCGUUAUCCGGAUUCACUGGGUGUAAAGGGAGCGUAGACGGCGACGCAAGUCUGGAGUGAAAGCCCGGGGCCCAACCCCGGGACUGCUCUGGAAACUGCGUCGCUGGAGUACGGGAGGGGCAGGCGGAAUUCCUGGUGUAGCGGUGAAAUGCGUAGAUAUCAGGAGGAACACCAGUGGCGAAGGCGGCCUACCGGACGGUGACUGACGCUGAGGCUCGAAAGCGUGGGGAGCAAACAGGAUUAGAUACCCCUGUAACC
rnacentral:rRNA from 1 species